rnacentral:lncRNA from 1 species
GUAAUCCCAGCUAUGAGGGAGGCUGAGGCAGGAGAAUCGCUUGAACCCAGAAUGUGAAGGUUGCAGUGAGCCAAGAUCACAUCACUGUAUUCCAGCCUGGAUGACAGAGGGAAACUCCGUCUCAAAAAAAAAACAAAAAAAAAAGAACUUGUGCCCCUUACUCCUGCCACCUGGACAAGUCCUCAAGUGCUUUCCCAUGAGAUAAAGCUGGUGGGAAGCUCAUUCCUGUUUCACAGAUGAGAAGUGUAAGGUCUAGAGAGGAGCCGGGACUUGCCUAAGGUCACACAGCCAGGGAGGUGGAUGUUAGGGUCCCUGCCUCGGGUUUGGAGAAGCAUGGUGGACACAGAGCUAGUGGAUUUGAGAGGCAGGGGUGGUCCCCUAUUCACCUCUGUUGCUCCCCCAACUCCAGAGUGACAGAGCUGGGCCUGGCAGUGGAGCGUCUUCAGAAGCAGAAUCUGGAGAAGGAUCAGGUCAACAAGGACAUCACCGAGAAGCUUGAGGCCCUGCCCUGUAGCAUAAUCCUCAUGACACAGAUGGGGAAACUGAGGCCCAAGAGGGGAAAUGCUUGUCCAGUCUCAGAGCAAGAAUCCGUGGGGCUACAGGAGCAGGCGGCCCUGGAGACAGAGGACGGAGAGGGGCUACAGCAGACCCUAAGGGACCUGGCACAGGUGUGAGCCCAGAGAGGCAGGAAGACAGGGCCCUGCCAGGCGGUCCCGGGCUCCCCCGCUACGCCUUUCGGUGGCUUAGGACUGAACUGCAAAUCGGUGGGGGCCUGGGGCCCAGGCUGUAGCUGCUCAGCACCCCUGCUAGCUCACCCGGCCCCUGCCCUGGGGAACCCCCAGUGUCAGAGGGGAGGCACGGCCCUUUCGGAGCCCACCUGUGAGCAAGCGCC